GCCUGAUACAGUGUCAUACCAGCCUCUCCCUCCUCACUACAGCAGCUCUGACCUUCCCCUAGUGAGCGACAUGCAAGCCUUUGCUCCCCGGCAUUUUCUGGUCCCGGUCAAAGAUGAUGAGGCCGAGUCCCAAAGAAAAGCCAAAUCUCGCCACGCCAGACAGACUCGUAGGUCAACACAAGGGGUGACACCGACAGAUUUAAAAGAGGCUCAGAAGAUUGGCAGCUCAUCCUCCUUAGAUCCACAGCCAGGGGGCGCUGCUG